UGAGGUUCUUCUGAGACACACUUAACCCUAAACAUUAAGUGAACCAGAAGUCACCAGGGUGCAUGUCUUGCUGGUAUUCACACGCAACCAGCUAAUUGUGACUUUCCUGGGAAGACUUCUACUGAUUCCCGCAAGCCUUCCCCUUCUUUCCCUAUUUAGAGUAUAAUUUUCUAUUACUCUAAUUAUUUCAUAUAUGCCGAAUCAAUUACGUCAAAUGAUUUAUGAACAAGGUGUCGAUCUGGAUGCCAAUCCUUGGAUAGC
rnacentral:lncRNA from 1 species